GCCGUGGUCGCAUAACCUGGUAGUGCGCGGGUCUCGAAAACCCGUUCCUUCGGGAAUUCCCGGUUCGAAUCCGGGCCACGGCG
rnacentral:tRNA from 1 species